GUGCUCGCUUCGGCAGCACAUAUACUAAAAUUGGAACAUACA
rnacentral:snRNA from 1 species